rnacentral:rRNA from 1 species
CAGUAGCCGCGGUAAUACGAAGGGUGCAAGCGUUAAUCGGAAUUACUGGGCGUAAAGCGCGCGUAGGUGGUUUGGUAAGAUGGAUGUGAAAUCCCCGGGCUCAACCUGGGAACUGCAUCCAUAACUGCCUGACUAGAGUACGGUAGAGGGUGGUGGAAUUUACUGUGUAGCGGUGAAAUGCGUAGAUAUAGGAAGGAACACCAGUGGCGAAGGCGACCACCUGGACUGUUACUGACACUGAGGUGCGAAAGCGUGGGGAGCAAACAGGAUUAGAUACCCCGGUAGUCCCUGUCUCUUAUAC